AUCUCCAGCCUCAGGAUGAUGAACACACUGACUCUGCUGCUGGUUGCUUUCUCUCUGCCCUGUUGUACAGGUCAGAAUAUGGAGUCCAUUCCUUCCACUUCAGUGGUGAAAAAUCCUGGAGAGACUCUCAGUCUGUCCUGCAGGGGAUCUGGUUUCACAUUUAGCUGCUGUGUUAUGAUCUGGAUCAGACAGCCUGCAGGAAAAGGACUGGAAUGGAUAGGGAGCAGCUACUCUGAUGCCAGCAGAAACACUUAUGCCAGCAGUGUGCAAGGACGUGUAGAAAUCAGUAGAGAUGAUAGCAACAGUAUGGUGUAUCUGAGACUGUCCAACUUAAAGAAUGAAGACUCUGCUGUGUAUUUCUGUGCCAGAGACUAUAGCAGUGGAUACUACUUUGACUACUGGGGAAAAGGAACAAUGGUGACCGUCACAUCAGCCACUUCACAACGACCAACCGUGUUUCCUCUGAUGCAAUGUGAUGCUGUGACGGCAGACACGAUCACUGUUGGCUGUCUUGCCACCGGCUUCACACCCUCCUCACUGACCUAUGCAUGGAGCAAAAAUGGAGUAGCCUUGACAGACUUCAUUCAGUACCCUCCAGUACAGAAAAACAACCUGUAUACAGGAGUCAGUCAAAUCCGAGUGAGGAGACAGGACUGGGCCAGUCAAGGGACUUUACAAUGUGCUGUGACACAUACAGCAGGAAAUGCUGAGUUUAAUAUCAGCUUUCCACCGCUUGUUAUAGAUGAUCCCCCACGACCACCAACUCUUAAAGUGUUGGCCUCCUCUGAUGAGGAAAACGAAGCCUCCUUCUCCUGCUUUGCCAAAGAUUUUUCACCAAAAACUUUUGAGUUCAAAUGGCUGAAAAAUGACAAGGACAUCGCCAACAAAAAAUAUGAGGUCACAACACCUGCUCAAGAAACAAAGUUUGACAAUGGCACUGUAGUGUACAGUGCAGCAAGCCUUCUCGUAGUGCCAUCCAGUGAGUGGACUUCAGGAACAACAUUUACAUGUCAGUUUAAGGGGAAAGGUGGAACUUUCACAAAUUCAUCUCUGACUCACAACGAUAAACCUCCAUGUGGCGAAUGUAAAACAGCUGAUGUGGACAUAACAAUCUUAGGACCAAGAAUGGAGGAUAUGUUUAAGAAUGACCUUGGACAGAUAGUGUGUCAGGUCAACGUAAACAAGCCAUCUGUCAGUAAGAUUUGGUGGGAGAACGAGUUUGGAAAGGAACUGGUUAGUUCCCCACAGGACGCCAUUAAAAUAACUGCAGGCGUAUUCAACCUUUCACUUGAGAUCACGUAUGAUGAAUGGAGCCAGGGGGUAAAGCGCUACUGCUUUGUUGAACACACAGAGUGGAUGGAGCCAACAAAGAGACUCUAUGAAAGGAAUGCUGGAGAACAGACUCUGCGUCCUUCAGUGUUUAUGCUGCCUCCAGUAGAGCAUACUAAAAAAGAAAUGGUGACCCUGACUUGCUUUGUGAAAGACUUUUUCCCUCAAGAUGUUUUUGUGACUUGGCUUGUUGAUGAUGAGGAAGCAGGCCCAGAUUACCACUUCCAUACCACAAACCCUGCAGAGGACAAUGGAUCCUAUUCUGCUUAUGGCCAGUUAUCACUUAGCCGUGACCAGUGGCAAAAGGAUGACGUGGUGUAUAGCUGUGUAGUUCACCACGAGUCUGUGGCUAACAGAACUAAAGCUAUUGUCAGGUCCGUUGGGUACAGAACAUUUGAAAAAACCAACCUGGUCAACCUCAACAUGAACGUCCCUGAAUCGUGCAAGGCCCAGUAGAUGUUGUUCUGUGUCGCUGUGUCUUCUGCUGUUUGUUGUUGUUUGAUGUUUGUUGCUUGUGAUAUGACAUUGUGUUUGUCUUUUUAAUGCAGAUUCAAAAUCAAAAUAAAAAAAAAGCACUUUGCAA